rnacentral:rRNA from 1 species
CAGUCGCCGCGGUAAUACGGAGGAUCCAAGCGUUAUCCGGAAUCAUUGGGUUUAAAGGGUCCGUAGGCGGUCUUGUAAGUCAGUGGUGAAAGCCCAUCGCUCAACGGUGGAACGGCCAUUGAUACUGCAGGACUUGAAUUAUUGGGAAGUAACUAGAAUAUGUAGUGUAGCGGUGAAAUGCUUAGAGAUUACAUGGAAUACCAAUUGCGAAGGCAGGUUACUACCAAUUGAUUGACGCUGAUGGACGAAAGCGUGGGUAGCGAACAGGAUUAGAGACCCCAGUAGUCCCUGUCUCUUAUAC